CAAACCCGCUUGACCGUUUUCCCUCUCCCUUUCAUUUAAAGACCUAGACCUAAAUACACAGAUCUUGGACCCCAAGCAACAGAGGGCACCGCUGCUCAGCUUCUUCUUCUUCUUCACAUAAAAACACACAUAUUAGAGAUUGGAGGGCGGCCUCCCAUCUGCUUCGACACCAACAAAAAGCAUGUCAUCUCCUCCCCUAUUUGGAUUUCUCUAAAGAACAGAGAACAAAUCGAACCCCCUUCCAUCUCCGAACCAAAAAAAACCAGUAGCAGUACCCUCGUCCGUCCACCCCCUUUAACCUGAAAUCGACCCCAAAAACCACCAGCCUCAACCCUCAGUUUCCACCCAAAAACCCACCGGAACGGACUACCCCCAAAACGCAUGAAAUCAGUUCCAAAUAUUGCAGCAAACCAGCUGCGAAAAUAGCAGAAACGCGGCUGUAAAUCAGCACAAAAGCGCUCAAGAACAGUCCAAUGUCACGUCUGUUCCGUUUCUUCUCUUCGAUUUUGAUUUUUUGUUUCAUAAUGGACUUGAGUUUUGACAGAAUUUGAUGUGUUCGGGUUUGAUAUUGGCGAGAGCUUUUUGUGAGUUUUGUUUUUUCUUUCUGGGUUAAAGUCGAGUUCAUAGCUGUCUCGCUGAGUUCGAAUCUGUUGCGGCUGAGUUUUCAUCCUUGUUGUUUUUCACAUACUGGCCCUUAUUUGGUUCACCUUUCUUGUUUGCCUUAGUUGAGAGGUACACAACUGUAAACUUACACUUUUCUGGUUGAAUUAAUUGAAAUUGGCUCAUGUUCAUUCCCUACUCCUAUUUUCUUUUACGAUCUUGAUGAAUUGGACAUUGUUAAUUUGUUUAUGAAAGAGUGACUGGGAUCCACAUAUGUUAAUACUGAGUUUGUGGUUGUUUUGUUGUCUAAAUUGUUGAUAAGCAUUCUUCAUAUCCAUGACCAUAAACUAAUGAUUAUACUGAUUUUGGAAAGUUGGUUCAGUGUUUUAUUGAUGGGUCGCCGUAUAGUUGCUUUGUAAAAUCAAAUGUUGUCGUGUGGUUUAAAAUAGCCAUGAUUCAAGCUUGUUUGUAAUUGUUAUUUUACACGGUCGUGUAGUAACUCUUCGGACGAUGAAUUUGCUACAGGGUUGUUUCUAUUACCAACUCAGACAAUAGUUGAAUCUUGAAUUUCAUUGUAUCAUAUUCAUAUAUAUUAUUUAUCCAAAUGUGGGCCACUUGGAGUAAAGAAUCCUAAUUUGAACUUUUAUUUUCCUUUGAGACUAAGGUUUGCUUUAUGGUAAGGGGAUUUGUAAUAGUAACUGUAUCAGUUGGUAUGGCAAGAAUUGGUAGAAGAAUUUGUGAAAUUAGAAGUGAGAAGAUGUAAUAUUGGUAAAAUGGCGUUUGUUUUUUGACUGCUAAUGUUUCUGAUUGUUGACUUCAAGAAUGAGCUAUUUCUUAGCUUUUGUACUUCUCUAUAGACCAUCGGACAUUUAUGGGAAGCUUGGUAUGAUAUUUUGAGAUUUCCUCUUAUAAUGUUUCUUGUUUCCCUCUUGAUUGCAUGGAUAAUUUUGGGUGCUCUUUUAUGUGCAUUUAAAUCUUGAAGAGAUGAAGUUGUUUACGACAGGCAUUGCCAUGAAUUUUAAUUGUCUCAUAAGCUUGUGUUGAUCAUUUUGCCUUAGCCGAUUAGCAUAAUAAAAUAAUAAUUUGAGGCGUGCCAUGCCAAACAAAAUCUUAAAACUCAUGGCCCUCACUUAAUUAAGUUUAACUCUUUAGAAAACAAGGUGUGCCAUUAGUGAAUUUUUCAUGGCCCUCGCAAACUUGAAAGUGUGUAGUUUCUUUAGGCGCUCAAUUUAAAUUAAUUUCCUUAAACUCGGGUGUGCAUUUCAUGUUACCCAAAUCCAAAUCUCAACAACGUUAAAUAAAUUGUAUCAUGAACUGCGGGUGCAUUUCAUGUGACGUGGUUCAAGGCGAUUUUUAAAUAAUGUUUAAUCUUUCUAAUAAUUAAUUAAAGCGGUUAUAAAGUUAAAAUUGAACCAUAUGUUAAAACAUGUAUUAAAAUAAAUUAAUAGGCCAAUUAUAACAUUUGAGCGACCGUGCUAGAACCAAGGAACCCAUCCACUGGUUAACAGAAUUCCUUACCCGAAUUUCUGUGUUCGCAGACUGUAAAACAGUCAAUCUUUUCCUCGAUUUGAGAUUCUAAACCGGUGACUGGGGACACCAUAAAUUAUCCCAAGUGACGACUCUUAAUUUUUAAUAAAAUGAUCUCAUUUUGAUUGUCACUUUAAGUUGAAAAAAACUCUCUUAUACCCUUCUGAAGGUAGGAAAAAAGAGGUGUGACAGAAGUUCGAGGUAAGCGUUUGGUCUAACUUUAGCUUGAGGGAUUAAGAGUUGUGUCCUAUUUGCUAUUUGUUUCUUGUUGAGUACGACGUAUAGGCAUGGUGACGAGUAUCUAUACGUUGGUGUUGAGCAUGGCCGUGAGUCUUAUAUUGUGAUUUCAUGACUUCAUUGUAUUAUUCAUGUUUUGGUGAGGAUUUCCAUUUGUUGUGUAAUGUCGUGGAAAGAAUUGUAACCUAUGAACAUUGAGGAGUGUUGGCUCCAGUUGUAUAACGAAUUGUGAAAGUAUAAGUGAUAAUUGAACCUCUAGAGUAUUGGCUCGAGUUGUGAAGUGAAUUGUGAAGUAAAAGUGAGAAAGAGAAGAGAUCAUUAUGUUGCCCCCUUGACGGGCUAUUGUUGAGUUGUGGUUCCCUUGCAUUGUAUUCUUAAUUGAUACUCCCUCCGUUUUAAUUUAUGUGAACUCAUUUGGCUGGGCACAAAGUUUAAGAAAAUAGAGAAGAUUUUUGAUCUUGUGGUGUAAAAUGAGGCACAUAUAUUUUGUGUGGCUAUAAAUCAUUGUGUAAAGGUAAAUUAUUUCUAAAUAAGGAAAGGGGUCUUUUUUUUUGGCACGGACGAAAAAGAAAAUAGGUUCACAUAAAUUGAAACAGAGGGAGUAUUACGGAUGCCUAGGUUGAUGACUCUUUGUGUUGGGUAAGGAUUAUGAUUCUCGGGGCAAGAAGUUUGGUUAUAGAUGAGGUAGUUAGAUGUUGUAAUUGGUUAUAGUUGUUUCUCCCUUGCCGGGACAUAAUUAUUUAUGCUGUCGAAUCCCUUGUCAGGAUAGUGUAGAUCUUAUUGAUCCCUCGUC
rnacentral:lncRNA from 1 species